CUUGGUCAAUUAGAGGAAGUAAAAGUCGUAACAAGGUUUCCGUAGGUGAACCUGCGGAAGGAUCAUUAACGAGUUUGAAAUCGAGAGCCUGUUGCUGGUGCGGAAACGCACAUCGUGCACGGCUCCCGUGCUCAAUCCAUUUCAACCCCCUUGUGCACCUUAUCGAAGUCAGUAGUCUUUCUCUUUUUGUUUGCCGGUUGUGUGUGGGAACCUCUUUCUGUUCACUUGGCCGGCGAGGAGAAAUAGAGGGUCGAAAGCUUUGACUUUUCUAUUAAACACUUUGUAUGUCUUGUGGAACGUAUUAGCUCCUUUGUAGGGGCGAAAUAAAUACAACUUUCAACAACGGAUCUCUUGGCUCUCGCAUCGAUGAAGAACGCAGCGAAAUGCGAUAAGUAAUGUGAAUUGCAGAAUUCAGUGAAUCAUCGAAUCUUUGAACGCACCUUGCGCCCCUUGGUAUUCCGAGGGGCAUGCCUGUUUGAGUGUCAUGUUAAUCUCAAACCCCUUGUCUUUUUUGUUGACUUGGUCGGUUUGGACUUGGAGGUGUUGCUGGCGUGCGUCGGCUCCUCUUAAUUGCAUUAGCUGGACUUUGGUUCGCAUUUGACGGUGUAAUAGUAAAGUGUUCGCCGGGCGUGCUUGCCUAACGGGUCUGCUUCUAAUCGUCUUCGGACAACUCUGUUCAUUUUGACCUUUGACCUCAAAUCAGGUAGGACUACCCGCUGAACUUAAGCAUAUCAAUAAGCGGAGGAAAAGAAACUAACAGGAUUCCCCUAGUAACUGCGAGUGAAGCGGGGAAGAGCUCAAUUUAAAAUCUGGCGGCUUUCGGUCGUCCGAGUUGUAAUCUGGAGAGGCAUUUUCCGCGCUGGACUGUGUACAA
rnacentral:rRNA from 1 species